AAAAAACCUCCAUAAAGUGUUAAAAACUAUACCAGUGAGUGAUGUAAGUAAAACAUUAAAUUUAUAAAUCAUAAAGUGAUAAAGUAGUAUGAUAUCAAAGGAUGGAAAAUAUGGCUAAAAUAGUCAAAUUUAUUUAUGUUAUGAUUACCAUUUUUUCUCUACUUUUUGUCACAACGAGCAUUAGCACGGAUGGUGAUGACUGUUUUUCAAGUUCUGAUUGUGAAUGCGACCCUCCUUUGAUACCUUUUUGUAUUGUAAAAUUGUGUUUGUGCUUAGAAAGGGAUCCAAUUAUGAUAUGAUUAUCAGAUCUUAGGGACUAAAAAGAAGCUCAACUAUAAUAUUAUAUAAGUUGUCCUUAGUUGUGGUAUUUGCAUCUUAUUAUUUGAUUUUCAUAUAUUUUGUUAUUUUUCAUAUUUCAUGGACCUUGUAACAAUGAUUUAUACUCUAAAGUGAUGUUAAAUGAAAUAAAAUAAGGUAUCAAUAUUUUUUUUUACAA